AAUUCUGCUGGAUUUCCCGAUAUGGAAGAUAAGAAUGUUGACAGAUUCUGGACCUGGUUAUCAGUUAUCUUAAACAAAAGUGAGAAGCACACACACAAACACACAAAAAUCCCACCCACUCUAGUUAAACACUAAGUUUGUCAAUUAUAAACCAGUCAGGUCUUUAUAUAUGCCUCAUUUCCUCUCAACCAUCAGCAUAUCAGAAGAGAAACAAAAGUACUUCAGCUCUGAAAAUAAGCAUCUUCUUCCUCAUAAUUCAAGCAGUCGCAAUGGUUUUCGCUGUACCUCAGAGAAUCCUCCUGAUCUGCCUGCUUCAGUUUUGCACUUGUGCAGUCGGUCAGAAUGUGGACCCCAAAACUCUCAUGAAUAUUGUAAAAAACUUUGAGAAUCAGUUGGGUAACAUGGGACAAUACGCUGUCGCCUUCAGUACUGAGAAGGACAACUGUCUUAAAGGUUCUGGCUAUCCAAGCAAGGACUUACUAACUAAAGUGAAAGAAAAACUUCAGCUGAAAGAGGUUUACGUGAGCGAUGACCUCAUUGCUGCAAAUCCGAAUGGAAAAGAUCAUUCAGAGUAUCGUCUGAAAAAUUAUCUGAAGAAUAUCUUGAAGGAUGAAAAUGAGUGUGUGGGUUUUUUCACUGUAAAUUCACCCUGUUUGAAAACAUGCCUAGCAGAAUCUGGGCCAUACAGCGUUAAAGACAGUCUUGUACUGUUAGAAAAGUAUGUGGGUAUUAAAGCCUUUGCGUUCAAAAAAAUUUGGACACAUGAUAAAAAGGAGGAUGUGAUAAAGAGACUGAAUGAAAUUGCACCUAAUUUGCCAUAUUAUCAGUGUGAGAAAAACAAAGCUAGAUGUGACAGACUGUAAGAAGAGUAAUGCUUGACAGUUGCUUUCCUCACAUAUAGAAAGUUUUAUUAAGCUGAGGAUUUUUUGUUUUGUUUUGAAUGCAGUAAACAUUAAAAUUGGUAGAUAAAAUCAAUCAUAUGUAAAAAAAAAAAAUCAUAAAUUUUGAAAGAUGACAAGUACUGUUAAAGUAAACUAAUGUUAGCAUGUCUGCUUACUGCUGGAGUGAAUAAAAAUACAUUUUAUUGAGCA
ensembl:lncRNA